rnacentral:rRNA from 1 species
GACGAACGCUGGCGGCGCGCUUAACACAUGCAAGUCGAACGGAAAGGCCUGCUUUCCCUUGUGGAUUGCGGGUACUCGAGUGGCGAACGGGUGAGUAACACGUGAGUGAUCUGCCCCCAACUUGGGUAUAAGCCUGGGAAACUGGGUCUAAUUCCCGAUAGGACUGCAGGGUGGUGCCUGUGGUGGAAAACGAUUUUCUAGUGGUUGGGGAUGAGCUCGCGGCCUAUCAGCUUGUUGGUGGGGUAAUGGCCUACCAAGGCGGCGACGGGUAGCCGGCCUGAGAGGGUGGACGGCCACAUUGGGACUGAGAUACGGCCCAGACUCCUACGGGAGGCAGCAGUGGGGAAUAUUGCACAAUGGGCGGAAGCCUGAUGCAGCGACGCCGCGUGGGGGAUGACGGCCUUCGGGUUGUAAACUCCUUUCGACCGCGAGGAAGCCACCUGGUUGGAAGGUGGUGACGGUAGUGGUAGAAGAAGCACCGGCUAACUACGUG